GGUGAGUAAUGCUUGGGAAUCUAGCUUAUGGAGGGGGAUAACUACGGGAAACUGUAGCUAAUACCGCGUAAUAUCGAAAGAUUAAAGUGUGGGACCUUCGGGCCACAUGCCAUAGGAUGAGCCCAAGUGGGAUUAGGUAGUCGGUGAGGUAAAGGCUCACCAAGCCGACGAUCUCUAGCUGGUCUGAGAGGAUGACCAGCCACACUGGGACUGAGACACGGCCCAG
rnacentral:rRNA from 1 species